CAGGAAGACACAAGGACUGGUACAAUCUUCAAUUCAGCCAGCCUGAAGAAAUAGCUGGCACAACAGGAUCAGUCAACCUUGGAGCAAUGACAAUAUGGAAGUGAUUCCCUCGGAUCGCGAGGAGGUAUGCAACAACGAGAAUGAUGUGUUAGUAGUACAGGAGGAUGUCUUUCUGCCUGCUAAACAUGCUGAGCUUACAAACUGGAAGAAGAACAACGUAUUUGAUGAAGUCACAGAUAAAGGUCAAAAAUGCAUCUCCACAAGGUGGGUGUGCACGCUAAAGGAAACAGCUGCUGGGGUUGUGCCAAAGGCCAGACUAGUAGCAAGAGGUUUUGAGGAGUUAAACACAAAAGACAUCCCUAAAGACUCCCCUACAUGUGCUACAGAAUCUUUAAAGAUGAUCAUAGCAGUGAUAUGUCAAAACAAGUGGCAGCUGAACUCCAUUGACAUUAAAGCAGCCUUUUUACAAGGUAACACACUCACCAGAGACAUUUACAUUCGCCCUCCCCAGGAGGCACAUAGCCAAAGGACUGUGUGGAAGUUAAAGAAGUGUGUUUAUGGUCUGACAGAUGCUUCUUUGUAUUGGUACAAUAGAGUCAGAGACAUCAUGCUACAGUUAGGAGCCACCGUGUCUAAAGUAGAUCCAGCUGUGUUUUACUGGUUAGAUCAGUGUGGAGAGGUGACGGGGAUCCUUGCAUCUCAUGUAGACGACUUCAUUUGGGGGGGUACAGUUGCAUUCUCCACCACAGUCAUCCCUCAGUUGAAAGCUGCUUUCCAGGUUGGCAGGGAAGAACACUGUAACUUUAGUUACAUAGGGUUGGAAAUACAUUCUGCACAAGAUGAGAUACAGAUACAACAAAGUACAUACAUUAAACAUCUGCAAAGUAUCCCCAUUGAUCCAACAAGAGCAAUCCAACGCGAAGCGCCACUGACUGAUAAUGAAGUGGACAUGUUAAAAUCUAAGAUAGGACAAAUAUUGUGGGUAGCAAGGCAGAGUAGGCCAGACAUGUUGUGUGACAUUUCUAUUUUAGCAUCUAGUACAAAAAAUGCUACUGUUCAAACUCUGCACUGUGCUAACAAGCUCAUUAGGAAACUUAAAUCAGAGAAUGUCAUGUUGAGGUUUCAGUACCUGGGUAAUAACAGCUCACUCAAACUUGUGGUAUUCAGUGAUUCCUCGUUGGGAAACCUCUCAGAUGGUGGCACACAGGGUGGACAUUUCAUCAUGCUUAUGGGUGAAAGUGGAAAAUUCUCACCAAUAUCCUGGCAAUCCAAACGCAUCAGGAGAGUUGUGCGAAGUACUUUAGCAGGGGAAACUUUAGCACUUGCUGAUGGUAUUGAUAGUGCAGUUUUUCUUGCAACUCUGUACUCUGAAAUCACAACUGGUCACUGUUCAUGCAAAAAUGUCCCCAUUGUGUGUGUUACAGACAAUCAUUCUCUACUGGAUGCAGUCAAAUCCACAAAGUCUGUCUCAGAGAAAAGACUGCGCCUUGAGAUCAGUAGUAUGAAAGAACUAAUACAUUCCGGAAUUAUUCAGCAGGUUGUCUGGUCAGCCACCAAAGAGCAGCUCGCUAACUGCUUAACCAAAAAGGGGGCAUCUGCGCUUGGCCUCCUGAGAGCCCUUAGUGAAGGUUUUUGCAAACUUAAAGUGUAAUUGUACUUUGAAAUGCUUUGUUUGUGUAUUCUUAAGAUCAGAUGUAUACAGUACAUUCUGGUUUGUUUUAUUUUUAUUUUUACAGUGCAUCUUUAAAUGUUGUGUUGUAUUUGAAGCACUUUACUUUAAAAAGAAGGGGGAGAUUGUUAAGUUAUGUUUCUCCUACAGCGCAUGUGCGAGAGGUUCUCGAAGUAUCGCGUUGUCUCUGUGUGUUUUUUUGGCGGUUCGAAUGUGUCUCUGCUGUGUAUGCACCUGUGAGUGUAAUGAUGCCAGUAAACGGAGUUAUCACAAACUAAGUCUGGUUAUUGAGUCAAC
rnacentral:lncRNA from 1 species